UACGGAGGGUGCAAGCGUUAUCCGGGUUCACUGGGUUUAAAGGGUGCGUAGGCGGGCAGGUAAGUCAGUGGUGAAAUCUCCGAGCUUAACUCGGAAACUGCCAUUGAUACUAUUUGUCUUGAAUAUUGUGGAGGUAAGCGGAAUAUGUCAUGUAGCGGUGAAAUGCUUAGAUAUGACAUAGAACACCAAUUGCGAAGGCAGCUUACUACACAAUGAUUGACGCUGAGGCACGAAAGCGUGGGGAUCAAACAGG
rnacentral:rRNA from 1 species